rnacentral:rRNA from 1 species
UACGGAGGGUGCGAGCGUUGUCCGGAAUCACUGGGCGUAAAGGGCGCGUAGGCGGCUUAACAAGUCACUUGUGAAAUCUCCGGGCUUAACUCGGAACGGCCAAGUGAAACUGUCAAGCUAGAGUGCAGAAGGGGCAAUCGGAAUUCUUGGUGUAGCGGUGAAAUGCGUAGAUAUCAGGAAGAACACCCGUGGCGAAAGCGGCUCUCUGGAACGGUACUGACGCUGAGACGCGAAAGCGUGGGGAGCGAACAGG